UGGUCAGGUAUCUAAAUGGCUGAAAGC
rnacentral:piRNA from 1 species